GUCCCUAAAAUGAAAUACAAACAGAAUCUCCCCCAGAUAGCUCCACUUAUAAGCCGUCUCAAAAAUCUGAGACGUAAUCACUUUCUCCUCCUUGUUCUUGGUGUUAUCUUUAACAGAUACCAACUUUGAUCAAAAGGCACUUCUCAUGUUACCCUCAAGCCAAAAUUACUAAUUCUAUAACUUGCAAAAUCCAAAGCAUCGGUCUUCUGUAUCUUGCCCUCUUCUUCGGGUCACUGUCCCUUCUCUCCCAAACUUCUCUCAGCAUAAAUAGCACCCACCUACUUUCAUAACUCUUAGUUCUUCUUCUUCUUCUUCUUCUCACUGCCACUACAUAUCACAGCAAACACCCGGAAUUCAUUUUGCUAAUUGGUGUUUGAUGGGAUCAUUUAAGGAAGGGAGAGAAGAAAGUCACGGGGAACGAAGGGAAAGAGUGAAGACAUGCAUAGUUUAUUCAUGGUCAUUAUUGGUGAGCAUGAUAGGAGGUCUAACAAUGGGGUGGUGGGAAUACGAGUACCACUCCACAAAUAGUCAACUUUGGAUGGUGCCCUUUGGUCUAGUUCUGCUUAUUACACCUCUCUUUGUUUGGUUCUCUAUCUUUGUUUCCGAUUUAUGUAGCUCUAAGGUUCAAGAUGCUCCGAGUGCUGCAGCAAGUCAACCCGUUCGUCCACUUGCAGGUGACCUUGAGAGAUCGAUGAUCAAAACCAAGAAGUUACCACCUACAGUGAUUAAUGUUGAUGUAUGACUCUUUUUUCUAUUCUAUGAGCAUCUUUUUUUACUGUUCUAGCUAGGACAGUAAGACUUGGCUUCUCUUUUUACAGUAUCACAUCAUUGCGCAGAAUCAUGAGUUAUUUGAUAAAGAGAAAAUUCAAAAAGAGAGUGCAUUAAAUUUA